CUGGGGUCAGAGAGGAUAGAACCACAUCCGGGUCAGUCUGGGGUCAGAGGGGAUAGAACCACAUCCAGGUCAGAGGGGAUAGAACCACAUCCAGGUCAGUCUGGGGUCAGAGAGGAUAGAACCACAUCCUGGUCAGUCUGGGGUCGGAGAGGAUAGAACCACAUCCUGGUCAGUCUGGGGUCGGAGAGGAUAGAAGCACAUCCUGGUCAGUCUGGGGUCGGAGAGGAUAGAAGCACAUCCUGGUCAGUCUGGGGUCGGAGAGGAUAGAAGCACAUCCUGGUCAGUCUGGGGUCAGAGAGGAUAGAACCACAUCCGGGUCAGUCUGGGGUCAGAGAGGAUAGAACCACAUCCGGGUCAGUCUGGGGUCAGAGAGAAUAGAACCACAUCCGGGUCAGUCUGGGGUCGGAGAGAAUAGAACCACAUCCGGGUCAGUCUGGGGUCGGAGAGGAGAGAACCACAUCCUGGUCAGUCUGGGGUCGGAGAGGAGAGAACCACAUCCUGGUCAGUCUGGGGUCAGAGAGGAUAGAACCACAUCCUGGUCAGUCUGGGGUCAGAGAGGAUAGAACCACAUCCUGGUCAGUCUGGGGUCAGAGAGGAUAGAACCACAUCCAGGUCAGUCUGGGGUCAGAGAGGAUAGAACCACAUCCUGGUCAGUCUGGGGUCAGAGAGAAUAGAACCACAUCCGGGUCAGUCUGGGGUCAGAGAGGAUAGAACCACAUCCGGGUCAGUCUGGGGUCAGAGAGAAUAGAACCACAUCCGGGUCAGUCUGGGGUCGGAGAGAAUAGAACCACAUCCGGGUCAGUCUGGGGUCAGAGGGGAUAGAAGCACAUCCGGGUCAGUCUGGGGUCAGAGGGGAUAGAACCACAUCCUGGUCAGAGGGGAUAGAACCACAUCCUGGUCAGAGGGGAUAGAACCACAUCCUGGUCAGUCUGGGGUCAGAGAGGAUAGAACCACAUCCUGGUCAGUCUGGGGUCAGAGAGGAUAGAACCACAUCCUGG